GCCGUGGACGAGCUGCUGGUGGCCGCGGGGGUGCCCCUGGAGCUCCGGGAGGGUGACCUGGGCUCGGUGACGGUGACGGUGCCCUGGGCCGCGCUGGGCUCCGAACCCCUGCGGCUGCGGCUGCGGCGGCUGCGCCUCGUGCUGCAGCCCCGUGAGUGCCCGGGACCCCCGGGACCCCUGACACCCCCGGGACACCCACGGGACACCCCCGGGACACCCCCGGGACACCCCCGGGACACCCGGGACACACCUGAGGACACCCCCGGGACACCCCCUGACCCACCCAGUGUCACCCUGACCCCUGGGACCCCCUGACAGCCCCCGACCCACCCGGUAUCACCUUGACCCCCUCAGUGACCCCCUCCUGUGACACCCCCUUUCCCCCCCAUGACCCCUCCUGACCCACCCCAUGUCACUCUGACCCCCCCUGACACCCCCGGGACACCCCCUGACCCACCCGGUGUCACCCUGACCCCCUCAGUGACCCCCUGUGACCCCCCUGUGACCCCCCUGUCCUCCCCCAGGCCCGCCGGGGUCACCGGGGUCACCGGGGUCACCCCCCCCGGGGGGGGGGUCGGAGCAGGGCCGGGACCCCCCCCAGGAGGAGCCGCUGGAGGGGCUGGAGGCGCUGGCAGCGGGCAUCGAGGCAGUGCUGCGGCGGCUGCAGGUGCACCUGGAGGACACGGAGCUGCGCCUGGAGCUGCCCCCGCAGCCCGGGGGGGGGCCUGGGGGGGGCCCUGGAGCUGCACCUGCCCAGGUGAGGGGCUCAGGUGUGUCCAGGUGUGUCCCAGGUGUGUCCCGGGUGUGUCCCCAGGUGUGUCCCAGGUGUGUCCCAGGUGUGUCCCGGGUGUGUCCUGGGCGUGUCCUGGGUGUACCCAGGUGUGUCCCCGGGUGUGUCCCCGGGUGUGUGCCCAGGUGUGUGCCCAGGUGUGUCCCCAGGUGUGUCCAGGUGUGUCCUGGGUGGGUCCUGGGUGGGUCCUGGGUGUCCCCAGGUGUGUCCCCAGGUGUGUCCCCAGGUGUGUCCCAGGUGUGUCCCCAGGUGUGUCCCAGGUGUGUCCCAGGUGUGUCCCCAGGUGUGUCCCAGGUGUGUCCCCAGGUGUGUCCCAGGUGUGUCCCCAGGUGUCCCAGGUGUCCCCAGGUGUGUCCCAGCUGUCCCCAGGUGUCCCAGGUGUGUCCCAGGUGUGUCCCAGGUGUGUCCCAGGUGUGUUGCAGGUGUCCCAGGUGUGUCCCCAGGUGUCUGGGGUGUCUCAGGUGUGUCCCAGGUGUCCCCAGGUGUGUCCCAGGUGUGUCUCAGGUGUGGCUGUCCCCAGGGUGGAGUACGAGGACGUGGGGGAGGGUCCCGGCCCCUCCCCCGUGCUGCAGAAGCGGCUGCGGCUGCACGACCUGCGGCUGCUGUGGGUGGAGCCGGCCCCACCUGGCCAGCAGGUACGUGUCACCUGUGGCACCUGUGUGUGUCACCUGUGUGUGUCACCUGUCACACCUGUGUGUCCCUGUGUCAUCUGUCUCACCUGUGUCACACCCAUGUCCCACCUGUCUCACUUGUCCCACCUGUCUCACCUGUCCCACCUGUCUCACCUGUGUCUCACCUGUCUUACCUGUCUCUCACCCGUCUGUCACCCGUGUCUUGCCUGUGUCCCACCUGUCCCACCUAUACCUCACCUGUCUCACCCAUAUCUCACCUGUAUCUCACCCGUGUCCCACCCGUGUCCCACCCGUGUCCCACCUGUCAUACCUGUCCCACCUGUCCCACCUGUGUCUCACCUGUAUCUCAUCUGUAUCUCACCUGUAUCUCACCUGUGUCUCACCUGUAUCUCACCUGUAUCUCACCUGUCUCUCACCUGUCCCACCUGUACCUGUAUCUCACGUGUCUCUCUCACCUGUAUCUUACCUGUCUCUCACCUGUAUCUCACCUGUAUCUCACCUGUAUCUCACCUGUCUCACGUGUAUCUCACCUGUCUCACCUGUCUCACCCGUGUCCCACCUGUCCUACCUGUCUCACACCUGUCCCACCUGUGUCCCACCUGUAUCUCACCUGUCUCUCUCUCACCUGUCCCACCUGUACCUGUAUCUCACCUGUCCCACCUGUCUCUCUGUCACCUGUGUCUCACCUGUCCCACCUGUACUUGUAUCUCACCUGUACCUGUAUAUCACCUGUACCUGUAUCUCACCUGUAUCUCACCUGUCCCACCCGUGUCUCUCUGCCCGCAGCGCUGCAGUUCCCCCGCCGCCCAUCUGGGGGCGCUGCUCCCGGGCCCUGCGGAGCUGCGGCUGCGCCUGAGGCGGAGCGAGAGAGCGGCGGGGCCGGCGGUGGAGCUGGAGGCCACCGUGGGGUCCCUGCACCUGCUGCUGCCCCCCCCCCUGUUGGGGGUCCUGCGGGGGGCCCUGGACCCCCCCGGUGAGAGCCCCUCCCCCCCCCGGCACCCCAAACCCGGCGGGACCCCAAACCUGGGGGGGGGGGGGAGGGGCUGGGGGGGGUUGGGGGUCUCCUGGACCCCCGAAUCCUCUGGGGGGCAGUGGGGUAUUUUGGGGGGGGUUUGGGGGGCUUUGAGUUAUUUUGGGGUGUUUCUGAGGCGCUCCGUGCCGGUUUUGGGAUGUUUUCGGGCUGUUUUGGGGCGCUGUGUGUGAUUUUGGCAGAUUUUGGGGUGCUCUGUGUUAUUUUUAAGAUAUUUUGGGAUAUUUUGGGGCAGUGUGUGUUAUUUUGGGGUGCUCUGUGUUAUUUUUGGGAUAUUUUGGGGUGCUGUAUGUUAUUUUUAAGAUAUUUUGGGAUAUUUUGGGGCAGUGUGUGUUUUUCGGGGUAUUUUGGGGUGCUCUGUGUUAUUUUUGGGUAUUUUGGGGUGCUCUGUGAUAUUUUUGGGUAUUUUGGGAUGCUCUGUGAUAUUUUUGGGAUGUUUUGGGCUGUUUUGGGACGCUCUCUGAUAUUUUUGGGUAUUUUGGGAUGCUCUGUGAUAUUUUUGGGUAUUUUGGGAUGCUCUGUGAUAUUUUUGGGUAUUUUGGGGUGCUGUGUGAUAUUUUUGGGUAUUUUGGGACGCUCUGUGAUAAUUUUGGGGUGUUUGGGGCUGAUUUCGGGCUCUGCCCCCCAGGUCCCCCCCCCGGGGGUCGCAGCCGCCCCCUGGGCCCGCAGGACCUGGCGCUGAUCGAGCGGGAGCUGAGCCGGGGCCUGCGGGGGGGGCACGACCCCCCGACCCCCCCCGGGGGCGACCCCGACGGCGGUGAGGGGGGGGGGGCUGGGGGGCUCCGGGGUGGGUUUUGGGGG
ensembl:lncRNA